GCCAGGAUGGUCUAAUCGGUUAAGGCGUCGCCCCGGUCAGGCGAAGGUUGCGGGAUCAAUCCCCGCUCCUGGCC
rnacentral:tRNA from 1 species